UACGUAGGUGGCAAGCGUUAUCCGGAUUUACUGGGUGUAAAGGGUGUGUAGGCGGGAUGGUAAGUCAGAUGUGAAAAUUACGGGCUCAACUGGUAACCUGCAUUUGAAACUGCCGUUCUUGAGGGUCGGAGAGGUAGACGGAAUUCCUGGUGUAGCGGUGAAAUGCGUAGAUAUCAGGAGGAACACCGGUGGCGAAGGCGGUCUACUGGACGAUUACUGGCGCUGAGACACGAAAGCGUGGGGAGCAAACAGG
rnacentral:misc_RNA from 1 species